UACGGAGGGUGCAAGCGUUAUCCGGAAUCACUGGGUUUAAAGGGUGCGUAGGCGGCCUAAUAAGUCAGAGGUGAAAUACUAUCGCUUAACGAUAGAAUUGCCUUUGAUACUGUUGGGCUUGAAUCAGAAUGAGGUUAGCGGAAUGUGACAUGUAGCGGUGAAAUGCAUAGAUAUGUCAUGGAACACCGAUUGCGAAGGCA
rnacentral:rRNA from 1 species